AGCUCAGAGAUGCAAAAAGCCUGCGGCGCUCGGGAGGCUCCUGGUCCUGGGGACCUCUUUCCUCCACUCUGUUCUCAGCAUAGGAAGAUGGGGCUGGGGAAUUCUUUUUGGUUUUCUGGUUUUGUUUUGCUCUGGUUUUGGUCGGGGUUUUGUAUUUUCCUAUUCUUCCUUGGUUUUAUUUUUUCCUUUUUUUCCUUUUUUUUUCUUUUUCUUUCCUGUCAUUCUCCCAGCCAAAAGCCGCCUUCGACCCUUUUGAUUUGAUGUAGCAAAGAGUGUGUGUCCAGAUUAUCUGAAAUAGACACUGAAGAAGCUACACAGAUGGUCAAGCAGGGCCCGGAAGAAGACCAUUCAGGAAAAAGCGGUCCAGGACUCGGUGGAUGGGCUGCCGGCAGACCGGUGUGGCUCAGACCUGGUGACUUUUUGGAGAGGUCGUAGAAUGAGGACAGCAGACACACGAGGACCUUGACUUCGGCGCACAGACAGUGCAAAAAGGAGACAAAGACGGACAGAAUCGAAAAAGAGCAUAUUUCCCCCUCCUACGUAUUUGUUUUUCCUGAUAGUCUCACAAAGCUGAGAGUCUGGUCCAGCGGGUUAUCUUGUAGCACUGGCUGUCUCCAGUGCCUGCGCUUUGAGG
rnacentral:lncRNA from 1 species